rnacentral:rRNA from 1 species
GUUUGAUCCUGGCUCAGGACGAACGCUGGCGGCGCGCCUAACACAUGCAAGUCGAGCGAGAACCGGGACUUCGGUCCCGGGGACAGCGGCGAACGGGUGAGUAACACGUGGAUAACCUGCCCUCGGCACCGGAAUAGCCCGGGGAAACCCGGAUUAAUGCCGGAUAGCCCCACAUCCCUGCGGGGAACGUGGGAAAAGGUAGCUUCGGCCUCUGGCCGAGGAUGGGUCCGCGGUGGAUUAGCUUGUUGGUGCGGGUAAUGGCCCACCAAGGCGACGAUCCAUAGCUGGUCUGAGAGGACGAUCAGCCACACUGGGACUGAGACACGGCCCAGACUCCUACGGGAGGCAGCAGUGGGGAAUCUUGCGCAAUGGGCGAAAGCCUGACGCAGCGACGCCGCGUGCGGGAAGAAGGCCUUCGGGUUGUAAACCGCUUUCAGGAGGGACGAAGCUACUCGGGUUAAUAGCCCAGAGGGUGACGGUACCUCCAGAAGAAGCCCCGGCUAACUACGUGCCAGCAGCCGCGGUAAUACGUAGGGGGCAAGCGUUGUCCGGAUUCAUUGGGCGUAAAGAGCGUGUAGGCGGCCAGGUAGGUCGGUUGUGAAAACUGGAGGCUCAACCUUCAGAGGUCGACCGAAACCAUCUGGCUAGAGUCCGGGAGAGGAGAGUGGAAUUCCUGGUGUAGCGGUGAAAUGCGCAGAUAUCAGGAAGAACACCCGUGGCGAAAGCGGCUCUCUGGAACGGUACUGACGCUGAGACGCGAAAGCGUGGGGAGCGAACAGGAUUAGAUACCCUGGUAGUCCACGCCGUAAACGAUGGGCGCUAGGUGUGGGAGGUGUCGACUCCUUCCGUGCCGAAGCUAACGCAUUAAGCGCCCCGCCUGGGGAGUACGGCCGCAAGGCUAAAACUCAAAGGAAUUGACGG